CAUGGGGGAAACCCCGACAAGGGAAAACCAAGUGCCAACGCAAUGCGUUGGCUGUUUUCCUGUCUAAAAAACAGGGGAGGAGUAAGGGCUGGGUAAGACGGGUGCCAGCCGCCGCGGUAAUACCUGCAGCCCAAGUGGUGCUCGUUAUUAUUGGGUCUAAAUCGUCCGUAGUCGGCCGGGUAGAUGCCUGGGUAAAUCGAGGCGCUCAACGUCUCGAAUUCCAGGUAGACCGCCCGGCUUGGGAUCGGGUGAGGUGCGAGGUACUUCGGGGGUAGGGGUAAAAUCCUGUAAUCCUCUAGGGACCACCAGUGGCGAAGGCGUCUCACUAGAACGAGUCCGACGAUCAGGGACGAAGCCCUGGGGCGCAAACGGGAUUAGAUACCCCGGUAGUCCAGGGUGUAAACGCUGUGGGCUUGGUGUCGGGGAUCCUACGAGGGUUCCCGGUGCCGGAGCGAAGGUGUUAAGCCUACAACCUGGGGAGUACGGUCGCAAGACUGAAACUUAAAGGAAUUGGC
rnacentral:rRNA from 1 species